UACGAAGGGGGCUAGCGUUGUUCGGAAUUACUGGGCGUAAAGCGCACGUAGGCGGAUAUUUAAGUCAGGGGUGAAAUCCCGGGGCUCAACCCCGGAACUGCCUUUGAUACUGGGUAUCUAGAGUCCAGAAGAGGUGAGUGGAAUUCCGAGUGUAGAGGUGAAAUUCGUAGAUAUUCGGAGGAACACCAGUGGCGAAGGCGGCUCACUGGCCCGGUACUGACGCUGAGGUGCGAAAGCGUGGGGAGCAAACAGG
rnacentral:rRNA from 1 species